UCCCUGGUGGUCUUGUAGUUAGGAUUCAGUGCUUUCACUUCUGUUGCCCAGGUUCAAUCCCUGGUUGGGGAA
rnacentral:tRNA from 1 species